GCUGUGAAGACGUGUUUAAGUUUGAGGACAAGACGGAGUUAUCAGGGUCUUUAACCUUAAACUAGGACUUUGUAUCUUUUCUAAACAGGACUGUAGUAAAGUCAACAACACCAGGAUGUAACAGGGUGUUUGAAGUCUCCUGCUGCCAUGAGAUGCUUUGGUGUCUUUGACCACGACCCAGAAACAGGAAGGGCAUUGUUUGUAGGAGUGCAGCUCCAUCACAGAGGAGGAGUUAAACCUGUUCACUGAUGCUGUUAAACUGACUGUUUGUCGUCCAGGUGAAGUUCUACUAUUAGUGUGUGUUUCAGAACCAGAUGUACAGGGAGGAUGGAAAAGUAGAACCAAGCUGCUGAACCUGCACUGUCUGGGCUGCCUUUUGAUAUGUUUUCAUUAUUUCUGCACAUAAAUACUUUAUGUUCUACUGUGUUACUUUGUAUGUACUAUGUUCUUCUUUGUUUAUGCAUGUUCUCUCAUGUCUGUGUGAGUUCUCUCCGGGUUCUCUGGCUUUCUCCCAUAGUCCAAAUUCAUACAUUAGGUUAAUUGGCCACUCUCCUUUGCCCGUAGGUGUGAGUGUGUGUGUGAAUGGUUGUUGGUCUCUGUGUGGCCCUGGGACAGACUGGUGACCUGUUCAGGAUGAACCACGCCUUUUUUCCCUGAAAGGGAAAAAGCGGUGGAAAAUGGAUGGAUGAAGUGAAAAAACUGUUAUGGUGAUUUUAAGUGACAUCAUUACAGUCUGUCAUUGAGGAGCUUCACACCAAGGCCAUGAGUAAUCUACUGUAGUGAUGUAGUGUUAUUCAAACAUCUCCUGCAGGACCCUGCUAGCUCUUCAUUAGUGUGAUCAUGACUCUAUGUGAACACAGACCAGACUCAUUGUUUAACAACACUAAUGAUUUACAGUAACUGUCCGCAGUCUCACUGUCCCUGGACGUUCACUGGUGUGGGGUGGAGGGGAACUUCUGAAGUUAAGCACUAACUCGUUCUCUUUGUUUUUCCAGUGUUAAGGAUCAGGUGGUUGUUCUUACACCAGCUCACAAAGUCAGAGAUGAACCCCCUGUGCUCACCCCCCAUACACCGCUAACAAUGAUACUGAUUUACCUCUAACAUGAGUGAAGUACUGGAUAAAUAUGGUAAAAGUAGCAACAGUGAAAGUUGAAAUUGUUGUUAGCUCAGCUGCUUGGUUAAUACUGUAUGUACAUGAAUGUAGAGAUGAACCCUGUACCUGAAAAAUAAAAGUUCAUCCUAUUUGAAAUCCGUUUGUCAGCAGAUACUCUUUAUUUUGUUAAUCCCACACUGGGAAAAUUAAAGUUCAUAUAUAGUAUAUUAUUAAAUAACAGCAGUGCAUACAGCUAAGAUUAGCAUGUCUGUGUAUCAGUGUAGUGUCCCAAUAUAAAGUUAGUAAACUGUAAAAUAAUAUUGUUCACUAAAAGAGUGUGUAGUAAAUUUACAGCUGCCAGAUUGAAGUGGACAAACUCAAACAACCACUACAUUAACGUUUGAACAGAUACAUCUCAGAUUUAUUACAAGUGGUGACAUAAUAUUAUCAGCAAGGAAGAAAGGACAGAGCAGCGGUGAGAAGUCGCCUGGUCUCCUGUGUCAUGAACCAGGCUGUUCCUGUGUCUAUUAGGUUGUUAUGUUCAUUUCCUGUUUUAUUUUGUUGUUCCCGGUCUUGGUUCCUGUCUGCUUCAAUUUAGUUCACUUGUCAUGUGUUUACUUCCUGUUUUAUUUCCAUGCACUUCCGGUUCUGUCCUGUCUUGCCUAGUUCACCUUUGUCUCCUGUCAUGUCAUCACCAGCUGUGUCUCUUCAUCAAUCACCUCCCUGCAUUUAAGCACCUGCACGUCCCUUUGUUCUCUGCCAGUUUGUUGUUAUCGAGCACCCGGUUUGUCUGUCUCCCAGCCAACUCAAAGUAAGUCGACGGUGUUGACCUGUGCCUGGUUUCUGACUCUGUUUGCCUUGUCCUUGCCUGUACCUCUGCUUGAACCCUGAGUUUCCUGGUUCUGACAAUUGCCUGCCCGACUCCUGUUUUGCCUGCCGUCUUUAUGCCAAAUAAACCUGGCUCAUUCUAAGUUUGUCUCCCGAGCUGUGCAUUUGGGUCCUUCAUCCCUGUCUGCUCACGGUGCGCCCCGACAGUCUGCAGGAGCGUGAAGCCUGAGAACCCCAACGUCCAUGACAACAAGUCAUCCAUUGGUCCGUGGGGCUCUGCCCCUCUAAGCCUGAGGCACGAGCUUAUAGACCCUGAUCCUAUGUCAGCUAGACGUCUUGUUUCGUUCUAACUUCUGACCUGAUACCAGUGGCCAACAAUAAGUGUUUACUCAAAAGUAAAUGUUUGUUUCCUGGAGUCUAUCCCAGACAUUCCUUAGACCACGACUCUGCCAAAAUACAAGGGUUAUAGAACAGUCACUGCACCUGAACAGAACAGAUUGUUGACUACCUAUAUAAUAAUAUAUGAUACAUGAUGAUAUAAAAUAUACUACAAGUGAGGCAGACGUUCAUGCAUGAACAAUGGGACUUAUGAAAGACAAGGCGAUAAGAGAAGCCUGGACGCUGCACCCAGUCAAGCAAAUGGUGAGAAGAAACCCAGCAGACAGAGCGCCCACACAGCUUCAGUUUCAGGAAUACAGGGGACUUGGACUGAGUUGCCCCCAGGACCUUAAUAAUUAAUUCAUAUUAUUGCAUUAAUAUUGAACUAUUCAUUUAAAUCCGCUACAGGUACAAAGUGUGCAUUGAGCUGUGGCAGAAUGGGUCAACGCUGUGUGUGGCAAUUGGCCCUUUGCGCCACUAGAGGCGCUGUUGUUUUGUUUUCUCCAAGUUCCCUCUUGUGUGUGUUGUUUGUUUGUGUCAUUUCCUAUCAUGUCAUUGUGUUCAUGUAGGUUUGAGUAUUUAAGCUCUGUCUAUUGUUCCAGUUGUCUGUUUUUUGUUUGCUCCUGUUGAUGCAACUUGUAAGUUAGUGUUUUAUUAUCAUGCAGCACCAUCAUCUGUUUUUCUUUUAAUAACAGGAAAACUAAAAAGGCUGUUGUUUGGAGCGGUGUAUUUCAUGGCUCCCAAUGCUGGACAGCUAACACACUUAGAGGACCUGUACCACCAUCAGCCUCUCUCCCUCAUGCUCUACUCCACUAAGGUGUUCUAUUACUUGGACUAUGUCUCUACCAGACCACAACAGCCACAUGACAACAUUCCUAUGAAUGAUGAGUUCACUGUCAUGGUUUUGCUCAUCUGUGUGUAGACAUCUAGUGGCCACAUGUUGUCUGAGCAGCUUCAUAGUCAAUUGUGGAAGUAAUAUUUGUGUAUGAACAGCAAGCAGCCUGGUGUUUAACUGGAUCAUAGCUAACAGCAACAAAACACAGGCCCAACUGUAAAAGACUGGCCAUGGUUGUUCAUCUGUUGCCUUGUAAAGCACAGUGGUUGUUUGUAACAAUGGCGUUUAAAGCCAUUCAUGGGUCACCCCCCAAAUGAGCUACUGUGCCUGAACACAGGAUCUUUAGAUUAUUACUCUGAAGAUUGUAGAACACAUGCAUGAUUGUAGAAUAUUCUAAGAGUCAGAACUUAUUCUUCAUUCUGAAAAACACAAGUUUGGGCCGUGUAAUGGAAAAAUUGUUUCUUCCUUAUUCUAUGCAGUUGUUAUAUGAUUUAGGACUUAUAUUCUGCAAUUAAUAUGUUUUGUCUUACUUCUGUUUUAUGUAUUUGACAGUUCACCUAGAUUGUUCAAUGGUUGGGAUGGGCAAGGAAUCAGGUGGUGCAUGCAGUCUGAUUGGGCUACACAGACGUUCCACCAUAGUCGGACAGAGAGGUUAAAGGGCAGAAGCAACUUCAGGAUCGCGGGCUCUUUGCAUCACACCUUUGUGGUGUGUGCACUGAUCUCCACAGCUGGCUUUUGUUUUGUUGAUGUGCACGAUCAACAUCCAUGUUUUUGAUUUGCUUUCCCCAUUAUUUUUAUUUUCUUUUAAUUUUUUAAUAAAUCACACAAAAGACAA